CCUACGGGUGGCAGCAGUGAGGAAUAUUGGUCAAUGGACGAGAGUCUGAACCAGCCACGUAGCGUGAAGGAUGACUGCCCUAUGGGUUGUAAAUUUCUUUCAUAUGGGAAUAAAAUGUUCCACGUGUGGGAUUUUGUAUGUACUUUAUGAAUAAGGAACGGCUAACUCCGCGCCAGCAGCCGCGGUAAUACGGAGGAUGCGAGCGUUAUCCGGAUUUAUUGGGUUUAAAGGGAGCGUAGAUGGGUUGUUAAGUCAGUUGUGAAAGUUUGCGGCUCAACCGUAAAAUUGCAAUUGAUACUGGCAGCCUUGAGUACAGUUGAGGUAGGCGGAAUUCGUGGUGUAGCGGUGAAAUGCUUAGAUAUCACGAAGAACACCAGUUGCGAAGGCAGCCUACUAGACUGCCACUGACGUUGAUGCUCGAAAGUGUGGGUAUCAAACAGGAUUAGAUACCCGAGUAGUC
rnacentral:rRNA from 1 species